CACAGCAAGGAGAAAAUGUUCCUCUGAGACGAUCCGCACACACAAUAGCUCAGGAUUGGACAUUUUUUGGUCACCUGACCCAGUCAAUGAUUGACGGGAACGUUCCAGGUUGACUUUUUAUUGCAGUCCAACUACUCAGAUGAUCAGAACACAUUUGUACUGAGCAGAACAGGUCGUAAAGAUGUAAUGAUUGACGGGAACGUUCCAGGUUGACUUUUUAUUGCAGUCCAACUACUCAGAUGAUCAGAACACAUUUGUACUGAAUUGUAAUCUGAGCAGAACAGGUCGAAAAAGGUAUAACUUGUAUGUUUUUUGAUAAAAGUGUGAAUAUCAGUUUGAUAGUUCAAUUUUAGUCGUCACUCUUAUCCAGAGCGACUUAGUCCAUACGUGUUCUUACUUAUUAUUUCUCACAUACUGGUUUCCCCGUGGGAAUCGAACCCACGACCCUGGCGUUGAAAGCUCCAAUGCUCUAUAACCAACUGAACCACACGGAACCUCCCUCAUCCUUUUAGUUCUUUAAAAGGUCCGAUGCUCUAUAACCAACUGAACCACACGGAACCUCCCUCAUCCUUUUAGUUCUUUAAAAGGUCCGAUGCUCUAUAACCAACUGAACCACACGGAACCUCCCUCAUCCUUUUAGUUCUUUAAAAGGUCCGAUGCUCUAUAACCAACUGAACCACACGGAACCUCCCUCAUCCUUUUAGUUCUUUAAAAGGUCCGAUGCUCUAUAACCAACUGAACCACACGGAACCUCCCUCAUCCUUUUAGUUCUUUAAAAGGUCCGAUGCUCUAUAACCAACUGAACCACACGGAACCUCCCUCAUCCUUUUAGUUCUUUAAAAGGUCCGAUGCUCUAUAACCAACUGAACCACACGGAACCUCCCUCAUCCUUUUAGUUCUUUAAAAGGUCCGAUGCUCUAUAACCAACUGAACCACACGGAACCUCCCUCAUCCUUUUAGUUCUUUAAAAGGUCCGAUGCUCUAUAACCAACUGAACCACACGGAACCUCCCUCAUCCUUUUAGUUCUUUAAAAGGUCCGAUGCUCUAUAACCAACUGAACCACACGGAACCUCCCUCAUUCUUUUAGUUCUUUAAAAGGUCCGAUGCGCAGCUGUUUUUUUUCUUCAUCUUAAUAGCAAAUAAUUUCUGGGGAACAGUUAAGGACAUUACUGUGAUUUGUUUUCAAUAAAAACGCAACAAAAUAAAUGAGCAAAAAUAG